GGCUUGUAACAUUUUGCCAGCCACGGUUUCGUGUGUUAGUGCUUGAUGUUCUGGCCAUCCUUCCAAUUGCUGCUUACUUCUCUUCAUUGAUUGGUAUGUAGUAUUGGAUCUUUUACUUUGAAAAAAUUAGAGUGUUUAAAGCAGGCUAUUGCUAUGAAUACAUUAGCAUGGAAUAAUAAUUUAGGACUUCGGUUCUAUUUUGUUGGUUUCUAGGACUGAAGUA
rnacentral:rRNA from 1 species